rnacentral:rRNA from 1 species
GACGAACGCUGGCGGCGUGCUUAACACAUGCAAGUCGAACGGAAAGGCCCUGCUUUUGUGGGGUGCUCGAGUGGCGAACGGGUGAGUAACACGUGAGUAACCUGCCCUUGACUUUGGGAUAACUUCAGGAAACUGGGGCUAAUACCGGAUAGGAGCUCCUGCUGCAUGGUGGGGGUUGGUAAGUUUCGGCGGUUGGGGAUGGACUCGCGGCUUAUCAGCUUGUUGGUGGGGUAGUGGCUUACCAAGGUUUUGACGGGUAGCCGGCCUGAGAGGGUGACCGGCCACAUUGGGACGGAGAUGCGGCCCAGACUCCUACGGGAGGCAGCGGUGGGGAAUAUUGCACAAUGGGCGGAAGCCUGAUGCAGCAACGCCGCGUGCGGGAUGACGGCCUUCGGGUUGUAAACCGCAGUCGCCUGUGACGAAGCGUGAGUGACGGUAAUGGGUGAAGAAGCACCGGCUAACUACGUG